AUGGAUUCGAUUCGAUUUGGACCUGGUGCUGCUCUGUUCGUGAAGAUUGAAUCCUCUCUGCUGGCUGCAGGAGAAGGCUACCACUGGAGGAGGUGUUGGAGAACCUGCUCGCCCUCCCAAAAACAAGUUCGAGGAGAAGAGGAGUGCACCCUCGGCGCCGCCGCCCCCACCGCCGACCUCGGCGCCGUGCUCUGCUCCCCACCGUCUCUCCCUUCCCUUGUCCGGUCGUGCGGCGGCCGUGGCGCUUCUAGCCCGCCUCUGACUCGUCGUAAGGGCUGCUGGUCGUCAACGGCCCUGUUCCAGAAGCACGGCUUCGAGCUGGCCGCUACCAAUCGCGGCGCCGGCGGUACGCAUCCAAGGGCAGGCCAACGUGUAGCGGCACAUCCAGCAUCGACGCGUUGGAGGCGAGGCUCCCGCGAAUCCCCGCCGGCGACCUCGCCACUGUUUCGGUCCUCGCGGCCACGCGGUUUGAUGCCGCUCUUCCGCGUGAGGAGAGAGCUCGCUGCGGUUCCUCUGCUCCAACCCUCUCAAGGCCCAACAACAAGAAGCCCGAGGAGAAGAGGAGAUCAUCUUCGAGCCGUGCUCCCCGCCCCCACCCACCUUCUCUCCCUUCCCUUGGGCGGUGCUGACAGUCGUGCAGUGGCGGUGGCGCUUCCACAUCCGUGA
rnacentral:rRNA from 1 species